AAGGGCACCACAAGAACGCGUGGAGCAUGUGGCUUAAUUUGACUCAACGCGGGAAAUCUUACCGGGUCCGGACAUACUGAGGAUUGACAGGUGUUUGUGUACUAUAGUACUUUUUUUUUUUUAAAAAGAAAGUAUUUUGUAUACUAUAAAUAUGCUAGUCCUUUCAUGAUUGUGUGAUAGGUGGUGCAUGGCCGUUCUUAGUUCGUGAAGUGAUUUGUCUGCUUAAUUGCGUUUCGUAAUAAAAGUGUUUUAAUCACUUUAUGAGGUAUAUAUUUUUCUUUUUUUAAUUUUUUCUUUUUUUUAAAAAGAUUAAUUUUCUAAAAAAGAAAUUAGCCUUAUUUGGUGAGAAAUACUUUGAAGGCAACGAACGUGACCG
rnacentral:rRNA from 1 species